AAUGAACGCUGGCGGCGCGCCUAAUACAUGCAAGUCGAGCGAGAAGACGUAGCAAUACGUUUGUAAAGACGGCGAACGGGUGAGGAGUACAUGGGUAACCUACCCUCGAGUGGGGAAGUAACUAGCCGAAAGGUUAGCUAAUACCGCGUACGCUUCUUGGACUUCGGUUCAGGGAGGAAAGCGNUGCCGAGGGUAUCGCGCUCUUGGAUGGGCUCAUGUCCUAUCAGCNGUUUGGUGAGGUAACGGCUCACCAAGGCGUUCG
rnacentral:rRNA from 1 species